rnacentral:rRNA from 1 species
GACGAACGCUGGCGGCGUGCCUAAUACAUGCAAGUCGAACGCAGUAAAGAACGGGUGAGUAAGGGGUAGGUAACGGCCUCAAAGCGGGGGAUAAAUAUUGGAAACGAUAGGUAAUAACGCAUACUACGGGAGGGACCUGCGUUGUAUUAGCUAGUUGGUGAGGUAAAGGGUCACCAAGGCGACGAUACAUACCCGACCUGGGAGGGUGAUCGGACACACUGGGACUGGGACACGGGCCAGGCUCCUACGGGGGGCAACAGUAGGGGAAUUGUGGCAAUGGACGGAAGUCUUACCGAGGAACGCCGGGUGAGUGAAGAAGGGUUUCCGAUCCUAAAGCUCUGUUGUUAAAGAAGCGGUAACUAACCAGAAAGGGACGGCUAACUACGUGCCAGCAGCCGCGGUAAUUC